rnacentral:ncRNA from 1 species
ACAAAUGCAAUGAUGAGAGAUUAGUAAUUCUGAUGCCAUCACAGCGACGCGGAUACUAUGGUGGAAAUCCGUGGUUGGCUAGGAAUGAAUUCACUUUUUGAGCAGAGGUUGGGCGUUACUGAGGUAACAAAAGAUCUUCCGGUUAAUUAACCGUUAUUAAAUUACCGAGUGUACUUUUAUUAAAGUAAACAAGGGUGGUACCGCGAAAGCUUCGUCCCUUUA